UACGUAGGUGGCAAGCGUUAUCCGGAAUUAUUGGGCGUAAGCGCGCGCAGGUGGUUUCUUAAGUCUGAUGUGAAAGCCCACGGCUCAACCGUGGAGGGUCAUUGGAAACUGGGAGACUUGAGUGCAGAAGAGGAAAGUGGAAUUCCAUGUGUAGCGGUGGAAAUGCGUAGAGAUAUGGAGGAACACCAGUGGCGAAGGCGACUUUCUGGUCUGUAACUGACACUGAGGCGCGAAAGCGUGGGGAGCA
rnacentral:rRNA from 1 species